UGAUCAAGAGCUUUGGACAGGGUUCCUCAAAUCUUGUCCUGGACUGCCAAUGCACUGCAGAGUUUUGUGCCAACCCUGAUCAAACGCACCUAUUUUCUAAUGAUCCUGAAGACAUUGAUUAGCAUGCUCAGGUGUGUUUGAUUAGGG